rnacentral:rRNA from 1 species
GGAUGAACGCUGGCGGCGUGCCUAAUACAUGCAAGUCGAGCGAACAGACGAGGAGCUUGCUCCUCUGACGUUAGCGGCGGACGGGUGAGUAACACGUGGAUAACCUACCUAUAAGACUGGGAUAACUUCGGGAAACCGGAGCUAAUACCGGAUAAUAUAUUGAACCGCAUGGUUCAAUAGUGAAAGACGGUUUUGCUGUCACUUAUAGAUGGAUCCGCGCCGCAUUAGCUAUUUGGUAAGGUAACGGCUUACCAAGGCAACGAUGCGUAGCCGACCUGAGAGGGUGAUCGGCCACACUGGAACUGAGACACGGUCCAGACUCCUACGGGAGGCAGCAGUAGGGAAUCUUCCGCAAUGGGCGAAAGCCUGACGGAGCAACGCCGCGUGAGUGAUGAAGGUCUUCGGAUCGUAAAACUCUGUUAUUAGGGAAGAACAAAUGUGUAAGUAACUAUGCACGUCUUGACGGUACCUAAUCAGAAAGCCACGGCUAACUACGUG